rnacentral:lncRNA from 1 species
AAUUAAGUAAAUUAGAAAACCAUUCAGUUGUACAACGUCAUCACUAGCAUUUACGGACAUAUCUUCUAUAAUAUCAUUGAUGAAGAACAAAAAUAAUAAGGGAGACAAUGGGUCCCCUUGUUUCACUCCAAGUAAAUUGUUAAUUGCGUCCGAAAGUAAACCACCAGAUCUAACUCGUAGCUGGACAGACGAAUAAAUAGAUUUG